rnacentral:lncRNA from 1 species
CCUAAUCUCAUGCUCACAUUGCAACCAAUUUAAAACCAUUUUCAUACACUUAUAGGCAGCCCAAAACAUACCAAAUUCACACAUACUAUACCAUCGAUUAUCAACCAUUUUAACUACUCAAUUCCACAUUCAAAAUAGACCAAAACAACUCAUAAAGCAUUAUAUACAUCACAUAUAUCAUUUACCAAACACAUAAUUAUACAUACUACAUUUACAAGUCAAAUCUCAUGGCUGAUAUCAUGACUCAAAACAUACUAAAAUAACACUAACCUAUACAUGCCAUAUACCAUAUAUACAAAGCUUCAAAAGUACCAACGAGUUGAUUCGAUAGUGUGAUUAUGGUUCUUGAUGAUCCCCGAUGUCUGAGCUAGCUUCGAUACUCUAUAAAACAAAGACAAAUAUCACACAGUAAGCUUCUUAGCUUAGUAAGUUCGUACCAAAUAUACUUAAAACACUUACUAGUUCUCCUAUUAUCAUUCAAAUCUAAUCCAUGGCUUUUUAUCAUAAAUAUACAAAUUCAUCAAGCUUCAUACACAUAGUAUCAACUACCACAUAGGUAUCAUACGUACCUAUACUUUCCCGUAUUUAUUUAUUUCAUUCUCACCUCUUUGUUCAACACCUUAAAUUGUUCUAAAAUCUUUCAAUGCUCAAAGAACUCGCACACUUAGUGCAUAAAUGAUUAGACGAAGCUAUAACGAUAUUACACAUUUAGUGCCAUUACAUUAAACCAAAGCUAUCUUGGUAUCAUACACUUAGUGCCUCAUAUAGCUGAAGCUAUUCCAAUUUGCACACUAAGUGCUAUUUAUAGCCGAAACUAUUUUGAAACACACACUAAGUACCAAACAUAAUCGAUUUACCUUCGUACGCAAUCGUAGUCACAUAUAUACAAUUUAUUAAUUAUUAAAGCAUUAAAACAUAAUUGUAAUUUCAUUUAUCAUAUACGAACUUACCUCGUACUCGAAAUUGAUGAAUCGAACCAAUUAAAUCGAUAACUUCAACUUUCCCCGAUCUAAAUCUGAUUUCUUUCUUUCUCAAUCUAUAUAAAUUCAAAAUUAACUCUUUUACUCCUCAAUUCAUUCGAUUUCAUCCAAAACACACAAUUUGGGUCAUUUUACACAUUAACCCCUAUAAUUUCACAUUUUCAUAAUUUAGUCCCUAUUUCAUAAAAACAUAAUUUACAACAAUUUCAACUAAACCCAAGCUAGUCGGAUAUCUAUAGGCUUCAUAUCAGCCCAUAUUUAUCAAUAUUUCACACAUUUAACCACACAUUUUACACUUUUCAUAAAUUAGUCCUUUUUUAUACAAUUUCACUAAAAAAUCACUUUACAAAACAUGAUAAUCUAUCAACAAAUACUCAUUUUUCAUCAUCAAACAUUCAAGAACUCAAGCAUUCAUCAAUAGAGACUUUCAAAAUCAUCAACACUUUCAAAUAUUGAAGCAUGGGCUAGCUAGUACCCAAAGUAACGAUCACAAAAACGUAAAAAUCAUUAAAAAUCGAGCAAAAUGAACUUACCUAUGUAAUCAUGCAAUGUCCGAAUGUUAGAAAGAUUUAAUGGCUUCUUCAUUUGUUAUUCGGUUGAAGAGAAAUGAAACCAUAUUUUUAUGUUUUUGUUUUAUUAAUAAUACAUUAAUACGUAGUUUACAUUUACCCUUGGUUAUUAAACCAUUUAAUCAUCAAACAUUAGGCCAUUUAUGUCCAUUAAACUUAUCAAAGGCUACUUACAACGUAAGGAAUUCACAUUUAAUAAGCCAUAGCAAAUAGACACCUUUAUCAUAUAGAAUGCAACUUUUACAAUUUACUUGAUUUAGUUCUUUUAUCAAAUUGAGCCGUUAAAACAAUAAAAUUAGCUCACCUAAUUUACACAUAUAUAAUCACAUACUAUAAACACAUAAAAUAAUUUUAUAAUAAUUUUUUAAUAUCGAAUUUGUGAUUCCAAAAUCAUUGUUCUAAUAUAGCUUAAACCGGGUUGUUACAUUCGUUGUUGAAGAGAGCUACGAAAAACUAGAGAUUCUGUCGUGGGAGUAUGCACGACAGAGGCGAUGGUGGCAUGGCUAUGUUGAGUUGCGUUGGUAGCAUCUGUGCCUUGGACGUUGGCAAAAAUGGUCCUAGUCAGCCCACCCUUGUUAGGGGUAAUAUCCUCCUCAUUAAGAUGGACUUGGGCAGUUUAACAUAGGGUAGUAAUAAGUGGGAAAAUUUAAGCUAUCGGCAUUCUUCUCAAAGCACCUAUGUACUUAAAAAAUGAUCCUCCCGUUAUUCACCUUUCUCCCUUUUAUAAUGGAGUGUAGCAAAAGCUUUCGUUCUUUCAAAACAAAACCCUCAGGACAAUAUAACAUUCUGGCUGGAAAUAGUCCAUCGUGUGCCCUCAAUACAUAGAUCCUCUAAUGUCUGGUUUAACCCCUCAACAGUAUUAUUCAGCAAAGUGUUCAUCCUGUAUACUUACAAGACCAAAUUGUGCAUCAAUAUGGUCUUAAUCAAAAGGAACAUACGUACGUCUUAUGUAGAUAAAAUGGGAAUCUGGAGAGUUUUCAUGGGCAUAAAACUCUCGAACAAUUUUUCCUAAAACAUCUACAAGGUGCAAGCAAAACAUAUUCCACCUAUGUUUUUCUACUAUUGAAGAUAUAGAUUCGUCGUAUCCCAUGUAUGGUUCAUCUUUAUAAAAGAACCCUUGCUCAAAAUAGAAAGCCUGCUUUACAAUAUUGGUAUUGUAUCUUGUGGCUACGAUAACGUUAAAGAAUGUCUUUGGCUGAGUAGCACAAACCCUUGAUGAUUUGGCAGUUUUGACGUGAUCCAUUGAAGAAGGAUGGAAGAAAUCAUGGAGAAUGUGUGUAAUUGAGGAGAGAAAAAUAAGGGGAUAGUUAUGACAGUUCAACAAAAUUGAAACAUGCUAGGGAGUUUGUGUGGUGUAGAGGACAAAAGAAAAAUAAUAGGAUUUUGGGGGAGAAAUGUGAAGUGCCCUAAUCCCAAAAAGUUUAACUUCCUUUCUAAGGGCUCGUCCAAUAACAAAAUUGGCCAAAAAAAGAAAACAUAUCUCCCCUUAGACUUAUCUCCCUGGUCAACCUCACAUUAUCCACUACCCAGUUCGUCUCAAUGCUAUAGCAAACUACUCUAAAUAUCACAACUGCUCAGUUACAUUUUUAUUCUACCUCUGAAAAGCAUAGAAUUUUUUUUCAAAAAUAAAAGCAUAAAUGAAAACAAUAGUAAAUAAAUACUAAAAAUAAAAUUAAGUAAUUGUAAAAAAAGAAGAUAAAAUAAAUUGUUCCCUCAAACAUCUCGGAGAUCAAUAUAGUGUUUGUCUCUAUUCACAUGGGCGUUGCCUAUUAACUUUAAAUGUGAAUCUUGUUUUCAAGUCCUUGGUAUUAACAACUCCAUGAGGAUACAAUUGGGCUACUUCAAAAGGACUAGACCAACGAGACUUAAAUUUACUUGGAAACAAUUUGAAGCUAGAGUUAAUUAACAACACCUAUUGUCGAGGUUCAAAUUGUCACAACAUGAUUCUUUUAUCGUGCCAACACUUGGUCUUUUCCUUGUACAACCUAGCAUUCUCAUAUGCUUGUGCUCGGAACUCCUAUAUUUCAUUCAAUUCUAACAACCUUUUAUGGCCAGCAGCGACCCACUCCAUGUUCAGCUUCUUAAUAGCCCAAAAUGCUUUGUGUUCAAGUUGAAUAGGAAGGUGACAUGGCUUGCCAUAGGUAAGCUUAAAAGGUGACAUCCCCAACAGAGUUUUGUAUGCAAUACAAUACGCCCACAAAGCUUUAUCCAACUUAGUAGACCAGACCUUAUGUGUAGGAUUCACCAUUUUUUCAAAAAAAAAGUAAUUUUUUUGUUUGAAAUUUUAGCUUGUCUAUUUGUUUAGGGGUGAUAUGUUGUGGCAGUCUUAUGUUUCACCUCAUACCGGUGCAAAGCAUUGACUACCAAUUUGCAAUCAAAAUGAAACCCCUCAUCACUAAUAAUGGCUCUAGAUGUGCCAAAUCUUGUAAAAAUGUUCUUGUGUAAAAAUUUCAUUAUUGACCUUACAUCAUUGGUAGGAAGAACAACAACCUUGAACCACUUAGAGACAUAGUCCAUUGCUAAUAGUAUGUACACCUUGUCCACUGACAGUAGAAAUGGACCCAUAAAGUCUAUUUCCUAUACAUCAAACAACUCAAUCUCUAGUAUACUUUGCAAUGUCAUUUCAUGUCUCUUAGAUAGAUUCCAUGUUCUUUGACAACGUUCGCAAGACUAAUAGAAUUCAUGAACAUUCUCAAAUAAACUUGGCCAAUAAAAUCCUGACUGAAGUACUUUGGCAUCAAUCCUCAUCCCUCCAAAAUGUCCUCUGUAUGGAGUUGAAUGAAAAUGUUGUAGAAUGCUAUGUAUUUCAUUAUCAGGGAUACAUUUCCUAAUUAUUUGAUUAGCAUAUUGUUUAAACAAGAAAAGUCUAUCCCAAUAAUAGUACUUGGCAUCAUGAAGAAAUUUUUGUCUUCUUUCAUUAUUCAAAUCGGGUGGCAACACAUCACUUAUUAAAUAGUUCACUAUGUCAAUAUACCAAGGUAAUGUCGUGGCAAUUAACAAAUGUUCAUCUGGGAAUUCUUCUUUAAUAAGUGUAUCAUGACUACCUUCACUUCCAAAUUCUAUUUUCGGCAAGUGAUCAACCACUUGAUUCUCAGUCCCUUUCUGAUCUCUAAUUUCAAAGUUAAACUCCUGCAUCAACAAUAUCCACCUAAUCAACCUAGGCUUAGUAUCUUUCUUGCUUAUUAGAUACUUAAUAGCAAAGUGAUUUGUGUAGAGUAUGACCUUUAUACAAACUAGAUAUGAAUGAAACUUAUCGAAUGCGAACAUCACAACCAUUAUUUUUUUUAAUGGUAGUGUAGUUAGGUUGCAGUUCCGAUAAAGUACUGCUAGCAUAGUAUAUUGCUCGCAGUAUAUUUUCUUUCCUUUGCCCCAACAUAGCUCCCACAACAUAGUCGUUCGUGUCACACAUGAGUUCAAAAAAUAGUAUCCAAUCCGAAGCUACUACAAUUGGUGUUGUUAUGAGUUUUUUAUUUAACUCUUUAAAGGCUACAAAACACUAUUCAUCAAAAUAGAAAGGUAUAUUUUGCUCCAACAAAGUGCACAAGGGUUUAGAUAUUUUCAAAAAAAUUCUUAAUGAAUCUUCUAUAAAAACCUGCAUGACCUAAAAAACUUCUAAUACCUUUGACACUAUUAGGAGUUGACAAUUUCUCUAUCACUUAAAAUUUUGCUCUGUCCAUUCCAAUUCUUCUCUAUGAUAUCCUUUGCCCAGGACAAUUCCUUCACGAACCAUGAAGUGGCAUUCUCCUAAUUUAAAACAAAUUACAUUUCUUCACAAUGGCCCAAAACCAAUUCCAAAUUUUUUAAGCAAUAUUCAAAAUCAUUCCCAAACACAAAAAAGUCAUCCAUAAAGGCUUCAAGAAAGUUUUCCACCAUGUUAGAGAAUAUGGCCAUAAUACAACAUUGAAACGUUACCGGGGCAUUACAUAACCCUAACGACAUCAAUCUAAACGUGAAAGUACCAUAUGGGCAUAUGAAAGUUGUCCUCCCUUGGUCAUUAGAGGCUAUGACAGUCUGAAUAUAUCUUGAAUAACCAUCCAAAAAAUAGUAAAAAGCUUUCCUAGCUAACCUAUCCAACUUCUAAUCAAUGAAUGGUAGGGGAAAAUGAUCCUUCCUCGUUGCCUUAUUAACCUUGCGAUAAUACAUACAUACACUCCAUCUCGUGACAAUGCGAGUUGGUAUGAGCUCAUUGCUAUCAUUAUUUACCAUUGUGACACCUUUCUUGGGUACACAUUACACAAGACUCACCCAUGAGCUGUCUGAAAUUGGUAAAUGAAGCCAACAUCAAGCCAAUUAAUAAUCUCUUUCUUGAUAACUUCUUUCAUGACCGAAUAUAGUCUUCACUACUGUUCAAUGGAAUUGCUAGGGCAAUCCUCCAACAAAAUUUUAUGCAUGUAGAAUACAGGGUUGGUUCCCUUUAUAUCAGCUAGGGUCCAUACCAAUGCCCUCUUAAAUCACCUAAGAACUAACAACCUUACCUCUUGCUUGGGUGUCAGCUCUAAAGAAAUUACUAUUAAAAAAGUACUAUUGUCGCCCAAAUAUGCAUACUUCAAAUGCUGCUGCAAAUGUUUUAACUCCAGUGUAAGGGGUUCCUCUAUAGAGGUUUUAAGUGGGUCAAAAGGUCGAUUUGAUAAAUCCAAUAGUUCAAACUUCUUCCCUAGUCUAUCCACCAUCUUCUUGAUAGCCAUAAAUUCUCUAAACUCCUCAAAACUUACUUAUCACGCUACUCAAGUAAGUCUUCUUCACCAUUAGAAUUGCUGAGGCAAUAUCUGGUGAAUUCCUCCAUUGUUUUUUCUAUUAACCCAAUGGUGUGACAUUUAUCACUAACAUCAGCACAUCUCAAAGCAUCAAAUACAUUGAAGGUAACCUGCUGAUCAUUUACCUUCAUGGUCAGCUCACCUUUCUAUACAUCAAUUAAAGUUUUACCUAUAGUAAGAAAAGGUCUUCCAAGAAUAAUUGGCACAUCUUGAUCAGCUUCAAAUUCUAAAAUAAGAAAAUCUAUAAGAAAGAUAAAUUUAUCUACUCUUACCAGCACAUCUUCAAUUUUACCUUCUGGAUACGCGUAAGAUCGGUCAACUAGUUGCAACGUAACCAUAAUAGGUCUCACUUUUCCAAUUCCUAGCUUUCUAAAAAUAUAUAUAGGCAUUAGAUUUAUACUCGCCCUAGAUCACAUAACGUUUUACCAACAUAAUGAUUUCCAAUUGAAUAUGGGAUAGUGAAACUCCCUAGGUCCUUUUACUUUGAAGAUAAUUUAUUUGUCAAUAUUGUUGUGCAUCCAUCAGUGAGAGUAAUAGUCUCAAAUUCUCUCAAUUUGUGCUUUUUUGACAAUAUAUCUUUCAUAAAUUUUGACAUAAUUUGUUACAAUCUAAUAGUCAAGGGUGUCGAAAAAUGCAUUCUUGGAACUCUGUUCCUAUAAAUCAGACUCGUAAAUAUUUUUAAUAAAUAUUUACUAAGUUAGUUGUGUAGUUAAUUAGGUUUCGAUUAAGCGAAUUUAUUUGAAUUAAAGGUAAUUAGGUAUAACGACUAAAUUUCGUAUAGGGUGAAAGUUGAAUUAUAGAUUAAAGAUUAAUUAAAGGGCCAAUGUAGUAAUUAUACCUAUGUUAUAAAAAAUGUUAUAAUAUUAAAAAAUCUCAAUAAUUAAGUAAAUGUAUAUAUAUGUAUUAUAUUAUAAUAAUAAAUUAAAGUAUAAUAAAAAAAGAAAUAAAAAAAUGGAACAUACAAAUUAGAAAGAAAAAAAAGAAAAAGAGAAAGAAGAAAUGAGAAAGACGCAUGACCUAUGGACUUCUAAGGUUCAAAAUUUAAUUGGUUAGUCAAUUUAGUCCAUUUUCUUGUAAUUUUUAUGCUUUUAGAAUCUCGGUAUUUAGGGCAACUCGACCCAUGUCAAAAUUUAAGCAAUUAUUAAUAUUUUUAAUGUUAUUAUUUUUGAAUAGUUUAAGUAUUACAGAUUAAAUUGAUAGAUUUUUAAGCUACAAAUGAAAAUUGAUUAAAUUGUAAAAUAAAUUGAAAAUUUUGAGUAAUAGGGACUAAAUUGUGAAAAAUUCAAAAUUUAAUGGAUUUAUUUAAAAUAAGGAGCUAAAUUUAGCUUAAAGUGAAAUUAGUAUAAAAAUAUAAGAUUAAAUAUGAAGAAUAAAAAUUAGUCUCGAUUUAGGUAGUAAAUUAAAAUUUAGGCAAAUAUUGAGUAAAAAUUUAAAUAUUCAAUAUGAAAUUGAAUUGUGUUGUAUUGAUGAAUUUUAAUUAUUUUAAUUCCGUAGCUAAUGUCAUACCAGAAUCCUCGACUAAAAAGGGAAAAUAUAACAUCGAUGUUGAAUAACUCAAAAUUCACAGUUUAUAUUUCUAUAGUUUUAUUUUGAUUUAAUGCAUAUGGUAGUUGGUUGAGGUGAGUAUUUAACACUUUGGAAGGGAUUUCGUCUUAUUCAAGCCAAGGUAGUGGUAGUGUGAGAGCAGAACAUGUUAAUUCUAUUAUGGACCAUGAUCUAGAAGAUGAAGUGCUAAUUGGAAAGGAAAGGAAUAAAAGGUCUAGAAGGGAGAUUGAAGAUUCUGCAAGUAAAAGGAAAUAAACGUAGUAGAAGCAAGGAAUAGGAGAAUAGUGGGGACUAAAAAUUUAAUAUCGGCGGUUGCCAAAAGGCAAGUCGACCGAACACAAUGAAAAUAUUAAGCUGGAACGUCUGUGGUUUGGGGAACUCACGGACAGUUAGAAGACUUCGGUAUACGUUGAAGUUAUAUAAUCCCCAAAUAAUCUUCUUUAUGGAGACAAAUUAAUAAAAGCCAUAUGGAAAGAGUUUGAAGAAGUUGUGGUUUUGUUAAUGGUUUUGAAGUUGAAUCAAUCGGGUCUAGAGGCGGAUUAUGCUUGGCAUGGAAUGGGGAUAUCAAUAUAUCAAUCUAAAGUUUUUCAAAAAGGCAUAUUGAUGUGGUAAUUGAAGAUAUAGAUGAUGGCUUUAAGUGGAGAUUUACUGGCUUUUAUGGUUCACCUUAUCAACAUGAUAGAAAUGAAGCGUGGAAUCUACUUAGAUUAUUACGUAAUGAUGGUGACCUUCCAAGAUGGUUUGUGGGGACUUUAAUAAAAUUCUUUAUGGUUUUAAGAAAAAGGGUGGUUUAAUUCUUGAUGAGGGGAGAAUGGAAGCUUUUCGACAGGUAUUAGAGAAUUGUAAUUUAGUAUAUGUGGGGUUUCGUGGGAAUUGGUUCACGUGGGAAACGGGAAACCUCCCAGAAAUGAACAUUCAGGAACGUUUAGAUAGAAGUAUGGCCAAUGACGAAUCGUUGUCUUUAUUUCCUGAGUCUUAAAUUCAACACUUGCCUCACUCUUUUUUAUAUCAUUGUCCACUCCUAAUUACUACUAAACGGAUUGAAGAUAAAUGCAUUAAUAGUAAUUUUAAAUUUGAGGCAUGGUGGGUUAUGGAAGAAUCAUUUGUUGGGGAGGUUAGGAAACUUUGAGAAAAGCCAAAAAGUGAUCUAUUGAGCAAACUAGAGAAUGUUAAAAAUGGUUUACGUGAAUAGGCUGAUCAAAUUGGGUACAAUAGAAGAAAGAUGAAGAAGAUGUUGACUGCUAAACUUGUAAAAUUGCUUAAAGAUGACAGAAGUGACGAAAAUCUAGCUGAAUUCAUUGAUACAAGAGUUGAACUCAAUUUCGAGAUUGAUAAAGAUGAGCGUUACUGGGAACAAAAGGCACGAGUAAAUUGGCUCAAACUAGGUGAUAGAAACAAUGCUUUUUUCCAUAAACAGGUGACGCAAAGACUAAAGAGGAAUCUUAUUCAAAAAUUGCAAUCUGAUGAUGGGAGAGAGAUAGAUAAAAUUGAAGAAAUGGAAGGAAUUGCCAAUUCAUAUUUUCAGCAUUUUUUUUAGCUGGAAGAAAGGGCAAUUAUAAUCAUAUUCUUUCAGGUAUGAAUCGAUGUAUUUCUGAUGAAGAAAAUUCUAAACUUAAGGCGAGAUAAACAGAAUAGGAGAUUUGGGAUGCACUUAAAGAUUUGGGUCCGACAGAAGCUCCAUGCGAGGAUGGACUUCUGGCACUUUUUUAUCAGAAGUGUUGGCAUAUUAUUGGGGGAGAUAUUUCAACAGUCUUAAUUUUCUAAAUGGAGGUACAGAUCUAAGCACAAUUAAUAAGACUAAUAUUGUGCUAAUUCCAAAAAUUUCAAAUCCUUCGAAUAUAACUCAAUUCAGACCUAUUAGUUUGUGUAAUGUGCUAUAUAAGCUGAUUGCUAAAGUUAUUACUAAUCGGCUCCAACUGGUUAUGGAUAAAUGUAUUGAUUAAGCACAGAGCGCAUUUGUACCUGGAAGACUAAUAUCGGAUAAUGUCUUAUUAGCUUAUGAAUUACUCCAUACUCUAAAGCACAAAAGGAUGGGGAAGAAAUGGUUUAUGGCAGUUAAAUUAGACAUGAACAAAGCAUAUGAUAAGGUUGAGUGGCAACUUAUAGAAGGAGUAAUGAAGAAAAUGGACUUUGAUUCAAAUUGGGUGGAUUCGAUAAUGAAAUGUGUAACUACAGUUUCAUAUUCGGUGGUUUUUAAUGGUUUUACAGGUCAACAUUUUAUCCCUUCUAAAGGACUCAGACAACUCAGACAGGGUAAUCCCUUAAGCCCCUUUUUGUUUCUUUUCUGUGGAGAAAGUUUGUCUAGUCUUAUGAGAUUAGCAUCAAAGGAAAAAGUCAGUAAAAGGGUUAAGGCAAGUAAAAAGGAUCCACAGAUUACACAUUUAUUAUUUGCAGACGAUUGUAUUCUAUUUGGGGAAACUACAAAAAGAGCAACAUUUCUUUGAAACAGAUUCUACUUAAAUAUGUGAUCAGAGUGUUAAUUAUUUUAAAUCUACCAUUUUCUUCAGUUCUAAUACGCAAGAGGAAGAGAAAAGAAUAGUUACUAGAGUGCUUUGAGUACGCAGCUCAAACAAUCCUGAAAGAUAUUAGGUUUACCUAAUUUGGUGGGUAGUAAGAAAAAGAGUCUUUUCGAAGUCUAAAGGACAAAUUAUAGCAACGAAUAGAUAAUUGGAGCAUAAAACAUCUUUCGCAAGAAGGAAAGGAGGUUUUUAUCAAGGCAGUUCUUCAAUCCAUUCCAACUUACUCAAUGGCAUGCUUUCUACUCCCAAAAACUCUUUGUACUAAAAUGGAGGGCAUAAUCGCAAGAUUUUGGUGGAGAAAAAAUUGAGGAAAAAAAGGUAUACAGUAGUGUGCUUGGAAGGAUCUUUGUUCAUUAAAAGACGAAGGGGGUCUUGGCUUUAGAAAACUUGAUAAAUUUAAUAUUGCAUUACUUGCUAAACAAGGUUGGCGAAAUUCUUUGUUAGCCUGAGUUUUAUAAGCUAAGUAUUAUCCGUCUUCAAAUUUUUAAAAGCCCAAUUAGGGAACUCACCUUCACUCAAUUGGAAGAGUGUUUGGGCAGCAAAAGGACUUCUGGAAAAGGGAUUGUGCUAGAAGGUCGGUAAAGGGAAUUGUAUUUCAGUCUGGUUUGAUAGCUGGAUACCGGAAGUUGAGGUCGAUAGUUUGCAAAAUCAAAGGAGUAAUGUUAAUAUAGAGUUUGUUUCAGACUUGAUUGAUAAAGAAAGCAGAACAUGGAAAACAGAGUUAUUGGUUAGUACCUUUAAUGCUGAUAUUGCAAACAAAAUCAGGAGGAUUCCUCUGGCAAGAACCGAGCAUGACGAUAUCCAAGUAUGGGGUGGGGAACCAUAUGGAAUUUUCUCCAUUAGGAGUGCAUACAAACUAUUACAGAGGUCUACACUGGAUCCUAGUAAUUAUAUUUUACAGGCCGAGAAUAAAGCUUUUCACAAAAAAAUUGUGGAAUUUACAUAUCCCCUCAAAAAUCAAAAUUACAGUUUAGAAUAUUUCUUGGAACUACAUCCCUACUUUUAUGAAUCUUAAAACUAAACGAGCAGUUAGUGAAACUAGUUGUCCCAGAUGUCGUUUUACUGAAGAAGACAGUUUCCACAUUUUUUUGCAGUGCCUUACAACAAAGGCAGUAUGGAGAAAUUGACAGAUGUCUUGGGUGCUUGAUAGAAAUAAUGAAGGUAUUUGGGAGUGGUUUACCUGGGUUUUCAAUAAGGGGACAAGUGAACAGUGUUGUAUGUUCUGUUGUGGUUUAUGGCUUAUCUUGACAAGUCAAAAUAAAUUCCUUUAUGAAAAUAGGAAAAUAACAAGCACUGAAAUCUCCAACCAAAUAAUUAGCUAUGUCUCAGAGUUGAAAGGAGUAGAGGAGAGAAAACUUAGCUUAGCUGCUAAUAGAGAUCUCAAACAUGUUGAACAGAGAAUAAGUCUAGCCAUUUAUUUUGAUGCAACCUUCAAUCAACAGUGCUUCAGAUCAGCCGCGGGUUUGAUAGUCCAAAGCGUAGAUGGAGGAAUCUUGGCUUCCAAAUGAUAAUCCAUGCUGAUGUUGCUUCACCAUUUGCGGCGAAGGCCCUUGCAGGAUUAGAGGCAACAAGGCUAGGUAUUUCCAUGGGUUUAACUACAUGCAGUAUCAUGGGAGAUUCAAGAACUACUAUCAAGAAAUGUCAGAGUCUAGAGAAUGAUAGAUCGAUCAUCGGAGCAUUCAUCAGAGAUAUCCAAAACCUAAAACCAUAUUUUCAAAAUCUGGGUUUUCAAUACAUCCGGAAAUCAGAAAAUCUCUUUGCACAUUUACUAGCUAAAGAAGCAUUGAAGAGAAAUGAAAGUCAUUACCUGGAGAAAAUCAUCCUAGACUCUGUUCAAAGAGCGGUGGAGAGGAAUAGGAAGAGAACACCAGAUUAAAGCAUAAGAAUCGGUUCUUUUUGAAAUCUUGUAGCAGGAGAUUAAAAGAUUUGAUGAGAUUUGAGCUUAUCUGCUUUCCCAACGACUGUUGCAGUUCAGAUGAAAAGACGUGACAUUAAGAAGAUAGCUGUAACUGUCGACUGAUAUUAGUAGGAGUAGGCUUUAUUUUUUUUCAGUUUUAUUAUUUCUUUUGCUUUGGGCAAUCAUGUCUUUGCCUGUUUUCUUUUUUUUUUUCUUUGCUUUAUUGGACCUGUUUUAGUUUGGACUCAAGUACAAGAAGCAGGAGUCUAUGUUAUUGAAUUAUUAUUAUUAUUUUAAUAAAUAAAACCAG